CAAUAGCGUAUAUUAAAGUUGUUGCAGUUAAAAAGCUCGUAGUUGGACUUUGGAGUAGCCGCUCGGACCACCGAGAGGUGCGCUUUCUGGGUUGGUUAAUCUUUCUUGUACCUCGCUCUAGGAAAAGAAGCAAUUCUUUUUAUCUAAACUGGAUCGAGGACUGAUUACUGUGAGAAAACUAGAGUGUUCAAGGCAGGCCGGAGUCGCUUGAAUAUUGCAGCAUGGAAUAAUGGAAUAGGAUCACGGUCUUAUUUUGUUGGUUUCUAGGAUCGAGAUAAUGAUUAAUAGGGACAGUUGGGGGCAUUCGUAUUUGGCAGUCAGAGGUGAAAUUCAUGGAUUUGCUGAAGACGAACUUCUGCGAAAGCAUUUGCCAAGGAUGUUUUCGUUAA
rnacentral:rRNA from 1 species